CAUGUUUCCUUAGCUUUUCUGCUGAUUUGGAAAGGGUUACUGAUUAUGCCGAAGAAAAAGAAAUAUCAAGUUCCGAUUUGGAAUGUCCGUAAUUGGUGACAGAAGAUCCAGAGAACAGAAAGCAAAGCAAGAACGAGAAAAAGAACUGGC